UUAUAAUUGUUAUUAAGUAACGUCCUGCCAAACCCGUCCCGCCAACCCGUCCCGUAAAAAAACCAUUUAUUUUAUUAAUAUUGAUCUUAUUUAUGAUAUGUUUAUGAAUUAUUGUCUAAAUAUUUUGUAAUUUUGUAGUAAUUAAAUGCUAUCAAAUAUCUCUAUGGUUUGAUGAUAUUAAAUAUUUUGGAAGUUUUAUUUUAGUAACUAAUGGUGUAGUUAAUGUUGAGUGAUUUAAGAAAGAUUGUUAAAUGUCAAAUAUUUAAUUCGAAGUUUUUAUUCUAAUUAUCAAAAACAAACAUUAAAAUCUAGUGGCAACCAUUGUAACUAAGUCCCAACUACACGAUUUAUUUCACAAAAUGGCUGCAAAAAUGUAUAUAUAGAUAUAUAAUUUUUAAAAC
rnacentral:sRNA from 1 species